CUUAUAUGGCAGUAUCCAGUCACUCUUCGGACUUAACCUAGAUCUUGACAUCCUCCGCCUGACGUUUUCACACCGCAUUCCCUCGUGGGACGGGCAAACCGCUCCAGUGCCAAGAGGAAGAGACUCAAAAUGACGAAAUCCAGACAGGAAGAUGCUGGGGGCAGAGGACUGAGGAAGUGUAAAGCCCUUGUGCUCAGCUGGCUCCAGAGGGCCUCAGCGGUCUCUUGUCUCAUGAAGGCUUGCUUCUCUGCCUCCAAGUUCCCAAGGCAGAAGCGUGGAUCCCACAUCCCUCUCUCAGCGUACUUCUCAGGCUGGGUUCUGGAACCGAAAUAAGAGUCCCCUAUGGUGCUUUAUUUUUUUGGGCUCCAAAUCCACUGCAGAUAGUGAUUGCAGCCAUGAAAUUAAAAGAUGCUUACUCCUUGAA